rnacentral:rRNA from 1 species
GACGAACGCUGGCGGCGUGCCUAAUACAUGCAAGUCGAACGAGUGGCGGACGGGUGAGUAAUGUCUGGGAAACUGCCCGAUGGAGGGGGAUAAAUACUGGAAACGGUAGCUAAUACCGCAUACCAUCGGAUGUGCACAGAUGGGAUUAGCUAGUAGGUGGGGUAACGGCUCACCUAGGCGCCGAUCCCUAGCUGGUCUGAGAGGAUGACCAGCCACACUGGAACUGAGACACGUUCCAGAUUCCUACGGGAGUCAGCAGUGGGAAAUAUUGCACAAUGGGCGGAAGCCUGAUGCAGCCAUGCCGCGUGUAUGAAGAAGGCCUUCGGGUUGUAAAGUACUUUCAGCGAGGAGGCGUUACUCGCAGAAGAAGCACCGGCUAACUCCGUGCCAGCCGCCGCGGUAAUAC